CGCCCUGCCCGCGGGGCGCCGGGACCUUCGGGGGCGACCUCGCCGGCGGGGGGGCGGCCGGGUCUCCGGCUCCGCGCGGCCCUCCGCUUGGUGGCGACCAGGCGGUGGUCCCCGUCGCGCCGGGCGCCUCCCCACGGCCCUUCGGCGGGGACAGACCCGGGACGCGGCACCGCCUGGGCCGGGGCCCGCCGCGUCCCCUCGGUCCACGGAGCCGUCCCCGAGGGAUAACCCGGGGCCGGAGGCGCACGCGGGCCGGGGUGCGCCCAGAGCCCCCCUCCCGCCCUCCGCUUUGGCCGGGGACCCGAAGGCAACCCCCACCCCACCCCGACCCCGCACAAGGCCCGGAUCCCCCCACUUUGUGACCCAGAGGCCCGGCCGCUUGCAGCUGCCCGGAGGGCAAAUCCUGGCGCCCGAGAUGGAAUCUGUAAUUUAAGAAAGGGGCCUCUGUCCUCACCGCCCUUCAUGGCCUUCCUGCCUGGGCAGAGACCCAACCAAGAUGAUGAGCCCAGGACUGGGACACAGGCGCUGGAGGGUGACCGUGCGCACAGGCGUCUGCUGCCCCCUGGCGGGCACAGAGGACACUAUCGCCACCUGGCUGCCCCGCUGGACCGGGAGGCUUGGGAAUGGUCACAUCCAGAGACACCUGGCUGCUGUGCGGUCCUGAGCUAGUCACACCCCCUUCACCGUUCCCAGCUUCCCAUGUUGGACACUGGGGACAUGUGUAUGUCACAGCGUCCUUAGGAGGCUCUGCAGACAGGCUGGAUAGGGAUGGGUGGAUGGAUGGAAACUUGGCAGAGACUGUCUCCCCUGACGCUUGGUGUGGGUGACGAGCAGGUCUAGACCGUACCAACUCAAAGCAUGGGCCAGAAAGAGGGGGCAUUUGUGCAGAAAACCUUCCUGCAAUGCUCAUGCGCUGGGACUCAGAGCUGGUUGCCAGGUCUGCCUGUAGCACACCUGGGGGGGGAGGGGGCAGCUCCCGUCACAUCCUAUGGAGGACAUGGCGCCCUGGAGACACACUCACAGACAAGGAAAUGGUCCCCUCGAAGCUGCACCUCCAUUUGGCCUGCCUUUAGCCCAGCCUGUAGUGGCUUCAGUGGGAGGGAGAGGCUCUGUGCUAAGCACCAGGGCAGCCCACAGGAGAGGCGGGGAGCUGGGCCCCCAGUCCGGAGGGCAAGCAUUGCCAAUACUGGCCACAUACCCUAAAGUGGCAAAAGAGGGUCACAGUGCUUUCUCUCCACCUCACCCACACACCAUUCCCCACCCCCACCCCCGCCCCAGCCCAUUUUUUGGCAGCCAGCAAGGACUCAGUGGAACUUGGGUGAGACCCUGCCACUCUCCUGGGCAAAGAGGGGCCCUUUGAUUUACACCUCGUUGGAGGUAAAAGCAAAUUCCUUCCCUAGAAAAUCCCCCAUGAUAUGCCCCCUCCCGGGAUGACUUCAUUUCAUACAGCUCUCCAGCGGGCUCACCCAGCAUGCUGCUACCCCAGGGCCUUUCCACUGGCCAUCUCUCUGCCUGGGACUCCUGCCCUCACAUCCUCUGCUGACCCUCUCCCCCAUACCUGACUUGCUUAGUCUCAUCCCUCUAGACCAUGUCAGCUCUGGGGCAGCAGGGACCACUCUGUCCUGUCCUCGGUUCACACCCAGCACUGCAGACUGGGCUCAGCCUGUGGUAGCGGCUAACAACAACAACAACAACAAGAAGUUAGUUAUUGAACGAAGCACCAAAUGAAUAAACCAACAACUUGGCCAAGCACGCAACUCUGA